UUCUCUGGUUUAAAGGAAUCAAAUAGCCACACAAUUGCUAACAGCGGCUUCCAAAGUGGAGUCAAAAUGUUUUACUCAAAGGGGCAUUCUAAGCACCAUAACCACCACAGAGACCUAUGGGCUAUUAUGCCAUGUGUCCCCUGACUCUGUCCCACUGUUAAGUGUCAAGCCGUUUUCAAAUUGUUUGAAACUCACCUGAGCCCUCUUUGCACAGGUAUCACUAAAGAAGAAGGCUCCAUUCUUCUUAAAGGAACACUAUAGGGUCAGGAACAGAAACAUGCACCUGACCCUAAUGUGUAAAAAACACCUUUAUUCCAGUCUGCUGGUGCUGGUUCUGCCCUUGGUCUGCCUCCUUGGCUGACAUCAUCAGAAGUGGUUUUCUGGGUUAAUCACAAUGCUUUCACAUAGAAAAACAUUGGAUUAGCUAAAUUUGUCAAAGAGGC